UCUCUCUCUCUCUCUCUCUCUCUCUCUCUCUCUCUCUCUCUCUUUCUUUCUUUCCUUCUUUUUUUUUUUUUUUUUUUGCCGUUUUUACCAGUUGUUCGGGAAGAGCCUACCCCCAGCGUACAGCAGACUCAGCCACCUCAGCAGGCACUAAAGGCUCCGCAAGCUCCACAGAUCCAGCCAGCCCAGCAGGCCCCACAGGCACCGCAGGCUCAGCCAACCCAGCAGCAGGCCCAGCAGGCUCAGCAGGCCCCACAGGCACCGCAGGCCCAGCCGGCCCCACAGGCCCCGCAGACCCAUCCAACCCAGCAGCAGGCCCAACAGGCCCAGCCAACCCAGCAGCAGGCCCAGCAGGCCCAGCCAACCCAGCAGCAGCAGGCCCAGCAGCAGGCCCAGAGGCGCUCAGCUGUAUUUCUCUCCUUUAAGCCUCCAAUUCCAUGUCUGCCCCUGCGCUGGGAGCAACAGAGCAAGCUUCUUCCAACUGUUGCUGGGAUCCCGGCGAGUCGAGUUUCCAAGUGGAGCACAGACGAGGUGUCAGAAUUCAUUCAGAGUUUGCCCGGAUGUGAAGAACAUGGAAAGGUGUUUAAGGAUGAACAAAUUGAUGGAGAAGCAUUUUUACUGAUGACCCAGACAGACAUUGUUAAAAUUAUGAGCAUUAAGCUGGGCCCAGCUCUCAAAAUUUUCAAUUCUAUUCUGAUGUUCAAAGCCGCGGAGAAGAAUUCCCACAACGAACUGUGAAGACGGUGAAUUCUGGCACCAUCGGCUUCUGCUUUAUAGCUCAUUAUGUUCUUUCAAAGCACAAGGACAGCUCCGGCUCUGGAGUGAGGAGUCUUCGGAAUUCCCAGGGGCAGCACUACAGGGCCCAUGGGUCCCUCCAGCUGCAGACACAUUCUUAGGGAAUGCCCAAGCUUCUUACCAGCAACUGGCCAACAGCAGUCACCUUUGGUUCCGCUCACCGAGCUAAACUUAACCUUUGUAAAUUUUUUGGAUGUGGGAGGAGGGUGGGGAGAGGGAGGCUUCGUUAUUUAUGGAUGGGGCAAAAAUCAGAACUUUUGGCAUUUUGUAAACAUUGUCGGAGUCUCUUUCAUGUACACUUUCUUUUUUUUUUUUUUUUCAAUAUUUUCAGAAACCUUUUUAUAUAACGGAAUCUCAACCUAAACCAAAUCCUUUGAACCUGGCUGGGUUUAGCCUGGGACUCGUGUCAGUCAUGUUCACCCUGUGCCAUAUUUGGAAUUGCAGCAUUAGCCAAGUGUAACGUUGUGAGUCGUGAUAUUGCCUAACUGUGUCAACCUCUGUUGGGACUGAAGAAUUGUAAAUACUACCUUUCCUUGAAUCCAUGUUUUUACUUUUGCACGCAUCAUGAAUUGUUAAACAAAGUACUUUUCACCAGCAUCUUUACUGUUAUUAUUACCAAAAAGAUGUAUAUAAAAGAAUGGAACUGAAGAGUAAAAUAUAUAAACCUACUUAGAUUUGAAGGAGGUAGCGUAUCUGGACAGAAUUGGUUUGGUACGUCAUGGUGCCCAUGUUCCCAGCAGUUGGCAUUGGAGGAUUGUGCAGUUUCAUAUCCCAAGGGAUAUUGACGAGGAAUUUGAUUUGUGAAGUUACUGUGUGCAUCUAUGUACAUGACAUGGAAGUGGCUGGUGCUUUACUGAAAAGGACUCACUUGUCUGGAAACACUAAUCCUUCAAGAGCUCCCAUCCGUCCUACAUGUCCUCCAGACCCAGAGGAUUUGCUCAGAGUGAGCUGAGAAGCAGAGCAAGGGUCUCACUGCACAGACUUGGUGUGACUGUCACAUCUGCAGAUACAGAAUUCUCUUCGCUCACAGAUCGAGAAAGUGGUUCCCAAAGCCAUUCUUCGGAAACCUCCAAUGGUGAAAGAUACCUUUUCCUAAAAAAAUAUUUUGCCUUGAUUUCUAAGUAUCUGGAUGCACUUUAAAUGAAAGCCCAUGGUUAUUUAUAAACUCAUAGCUGGCAGUGUUUCUUUUGUAAGCGUGCACUUCUAAGGGGAAGGUAAGAUAUUUUGUCAGUCUUUGGAUGUAUUUUCUAAUCCCACGAUUAGACAUUUACUCAAGGACUGGUUUAAAAAUAGAAAGUUUAGUAGCAUGCUGUCGGAACUCUGGGGGAAGGUCCCACCUCUUCCCAUGAACUCUUUAAUGUUUUUCUGAUGUAGGACUUCCUUUGAUGUGCCAUAGUAGGAGUCCUUUGCAUUUGUCAUGAUUCAAGGUAAACAGGGUCCGUGACAUCUGCAAUGUCCUCUUCAUUUCUUUGCAUGAAUCUGCUAAAUGAGCUUUUUAUUGUUACUCCCCCUCCCCCUUUGUUGUGGUCAGUAUUUGUACAUUAACUUGCACUUGUUACAUGUGAUAUGAAUGAAAUAAAAUCUUAAUUGCA
rnacentral:lncRNA from 1 species